ensembl:lncRNA
GGGGUCUGACGUCAGCCAUGUGCGGGGAGGAGAUGGGAAGAGGGAGGGGGUUAAAUGCUAAUGAUAUUAAUGAACCUCCCAGCGGCUCCCAAAGAAAAUGCAGGCGCUCUUGGAGCUGAGGAGUUAAGAGUGUGAAUAUGGGACUCUGCGUGCGUGAUGGUGAGACGGUACUGCUCUGGAGUGCCAGGCAGAUUCAUGGAAGAAAUUGGGUGGCUGUGUUUUGAUUGUGCACGCCGGACAUGAGCUUGUGAGUUAGUUCAUUCUUGGUCCCGUGCUCCUUCUGUUGGGUAAAACUUGGAUCUGAACCGAGGAGGCCCAAAGCUCCAACCAGGGCAGAACACUGGGUGGCAACCACCACGGAAGCCCUGCAGCAGCCCCUGCAGUCAACUGUCUCUCCUUUCCCGGUUGUGGGCACAGCACAUGAGGAACAGGACAUGUGUCUACCCUGAGCCUGUACCACGGCUGCACUUUGGGAGCACACCAUUUGAUGGCACAGGUUUACAACUGGAGAGGAAUUUGCCUCAGGGUGAAUUGUAUUUUGAGUUUCAUCUGCAACUGACUUAGAUGAUAAGGCAAAAUGUGCUCCUUGAGGUUCAGGUGAUGACUGACAGGUGCAGACCUCUGCAUGGAGGUGAGGAGGAACUUCCAGGAGGACAGAGAGAGCCUGGUCAGAGCUGGCAUGAGGCCUCUGCAGUACCUGUGUGGGAAGAUCCGAGGCUGAAGGGAAAGCCAGGGCUGAGGGGACAGAAGUGGGGGCAGCUGGUGCCAUGACCCAUCAGUGUCCCAUGGACUAUCCCAAGGCAACUGACUUCUCCUUACUAUCUCCUAUCUGAUCUCAAGUCCUAAAUUGUGGAGAACCAGGCCCUCAGAGAGGCUGCUGUGGCCGGUAAAACAGGGGCUAGGCUGGCUGCUUUCAAAGAGGAGGGCGGCGGGGAUAUGAAGAGCUAAAGAAGCUUUUGGACUGUCCCAGAGACAGAACAAGCCCCUCACACAGGUUUUUUCUUUAGUGACCCCAUUCCGCCCCAUGGAUGUCACUUUUUUUUUUUCUUUUUUCUUUUCCUUGUUCCUUUUCUUUUUCGGCGCUUUCUGGGAGGGGGAGCAAAGCGAGGGAGGUGGGAAGAGACUUUUUUUCACAUGAGUCCUCAGAAUUACAGUUCACAAACUAUUCAGUAAACUGACCGGCCUCAACCUCCCCUUCAACGGCCUAAUCUAAGGGGUGGAUCUAUGUGUUUUGUUGCUUGUCAGAAACAAUCGCGGCGCGGCCCAUUACAUUUACAGCACGUCGCCCUUUAAUUGGUGUAACACGCUGAGGCCUGAAAGGAGGAGAGGCCCACAAAGGCGCCGUGAAUGAGCCUUGACUCACACAAAAACACUCUGCAGAAGUUCAGAGCCGGCCACUAACAAGGAGGUAGGGAGUUAGUUUGAAAAGGGGGUGAAGUUCAGAAAUGUGUCACCUUGAGGAGCGUCCCAUCAAAGCAAUGGUCGCAUUGACAAGCUGCAAAGAAAAAAAGUUAAACCUUCAGCGACAUGGACUUGCCUGCAGAUGUAUUCUUCCACUUGAGGAGGGGCAAGGAGAGAGCCGUCUUUCUUUCUCUUCUCCUUUGCCCGCCCUGUGCUCUCUGCUCCCCUUAUUUACUUCAGAGAGCCUUCAAAAAGUCGGAGCCCAAAAGAUUUACCUUCUACUCUCCUGCUAAAAUACACUAUUUAAGAACAAACAUAUUUAAAAACCAGGCAGAACGAGGCUGGUUUAGGCUGCCGCGGCUGAUUUCUGCCUCUGUGGGAACCGAGAUUAUCCUGCCCUCCUGUCUCCCACCUCCCCCACGUUCCAGGGCCGUUCCCUGCUCCUGGGCUGCGUGUUGCGACCUAGGCCCGUGCACAGGAGACCCUGAAGAAGCUGCACCCGAGCGCAAUGAAGACGAGGGUAAGCGCGCCAUGUGGACGCCUUUGCAUCAGGAUGCCAGGAAUUCGCCCACUCUCGGUGGAGGCCACAAGGCCGGCCUCGCUAGGCCCCCUCUCUGCUGCCCAACCCUCGCCUGCCUUCCUUCGAGGGGGCUACCGAGUCUCCCGCGCCAGGGUGGACACCUCCACUCCCCCUUGCCCCCGGGGACGCACCGAGCGCCUGCACCCUCCUCGGCUCGCCCCCUCCCGGCCUUUGUGUGGUGCGGGACCCCGGCCCGCCGCCCCUGUGAACCGCCUGCCCCGCGCGGAGGCGGGGGCACUUUUCAAUGCCUCGCCGCAGCUCCCUCCAGAUUUGUAAUCCGCCAAAAAGCCGCUGAUUGCUGCAAUCGUUACUUUUCAUUAAAAAAACUUAGAAGCAAUUUGGGAGAACUCUUCUCAAUGAAUACAUUUACCCCCGAACGGUCUUUAUUCUCCGCCUCCACUUGAUGAGUU